rnacentral:rRNA from 1 species
CAAUAGCGUAUAUUAAAGUUGUUGCGGUUAAAAAGCUCGUAGUUGGAUUUCUGCUGAGGACGACCGGUCCGCCCUCUGGGUGAGCAUCUGGUUCGGCCUUGGCAUCUUCUUGGGGAACGUAGCUGCACUUGACUGUGUGGUGCGGUAUCCAGGACUUUUACUUUGAGGAAAUUAGAGUGUUUCAAGCAGGCGCACGCCUUGAAUACAUUAGCAUGGAAUAAUAAGAUAGGACCUCGGUUCUAUUUUGUUGGUUUCUAGAGCUGAGGUAAUGAUUAAUAGGGAUAGUUGGGGGCAUUCGUAUUUAACUGUCAGAGGUGAAAUUCUUGGAUUUGUUAAAGACGGACUACUGCGAGAGCAUUUGCCAAGGAUGUUUUCAUUGA